GCCGAUGUGGUGGAAUGGCAGACACAAGGGACUUAAAAUCCCUCGAAGGAGACUUCGUACCGGUUCGAGCCCGGUCAUCGGCACCA
rnacentral:tRNA from 1 species